GACGAACGCUGGCGGCGUGCUUAACACAUGCAAGUCGAGCGGAGCGGCGAACGGGUGAGUAACGCGUGAGUAACUGCCCCCCUCUCUGGGAUAACAGUUGGAAACGGCUGCUAAUACCGGAUAGUGGGGGAUGACUCGCGUCCUAUCAGCUUGUGGGUGGGGUAGUGGCCUACCAAGGCGACGAAUGGUAGCCGGCCUGAGAGGGCGACCGGCCACAUUGUGCGGAGUUACGGCCCAAACUCCUACGGGCGGCAUCCGUGGGUAUGAGUGCACAAUGGUGGAAACCCUGCUGCAGAACCGCCGCGUGCGGGAUGACGGCCUUCGGGUUGGAAACCGAUGUCAGCCAUGACGCGGUAGUGGCAGAAGAAGCACCGGCUAACGACGUGCCAGGCGCGGCGGUAAUAC
rnacentral:rRNA from 1 species